rnacentral:misc_RNA from 1 species
AUGUGACGUCAUGAGGUCUCAGAAGGUCGCCAUUGUGUGUUGUGUUCAGUCGUACUAGGUGAAGCUCAUUAUUUGGCUUGGAAUUAGGGCUUCUUGGCCCUUCAACACCUACCAAAAUGUCAUCACCUAGUGCAGGAAAGCGUCGCAUGGAUACUGAUGUCAUCAAACUUAUCGAGAAGAAGCACGAAGUUACCAUGCUCAAUGGGCUGAACGAGUUCUGUGUUAAAUUUUAUGGACCCAAAGGCACCCCGUAUGAAGGAGGCGUGUGGAAAGUUCGCGUCCAUCUCCCGGAACAUUAUCCUUUCAAAUCUCCGAGCAUUGGCUUCAUGAACAAAGUGUACCACCCUAAUAUUGAUGAGGUAUCAGGCACUGUUUGUUUGGACGUAAUAAAUCAAGCCUGGACAGCCUUAUAUGAUCUGUCAAAUAUCUUUGAAAGCUUCCUCCCUCAACUUCUAACAUAUCCAAAUCCAAUUGAUCCCUUAAAUGGGGAUGCUGCCGCAAUGUACCUCCACAAGCCUGAAGAGUACAAGAAGAAAGUGUCAGAUUACCAGAAACAAGAUGUGUUGGUGUGGUAACUACUCCAAGCCAAGAUAAUGAUGGUGAAUGUUUAACAAGAAUAUGCUGCAGAAGAACCGUUGCCUUCAGACAAGUGGCUGGCAUCACAGUGAGUCAUGGAGCUUCACAAUCGUUCACAGAGAUUAUAUUAAGUGUAAACAGUGACUCCUUCACAGACAAAUGAAGGAAUAGUUUUUAUACAGGAGACUUUUUUUUCCUAGUGCCACUGAUUUGCUCCCCCAUGUGUGUAUUCCUGACUCAGCUCCUGCAUGCUCCCUUGUUUGCUCACGUCUCUAUGAGUCAUGGCGGUAAGAAUAACCCAUAAUGCAGGUUGUCAUUCUUGAUCUACUACAUACACACGUGUGAUAAUUGUUAUAUACUGUAUAUAUACUGAACCUGGGAUAUUAUUCAGUGUAAGAGAUAUUUAAUAUGCAUUUUCUGACUGCAUACAAUAUACAAAUAAGUGAUAACUCGUUUAUUAACUACUGUAGUACUUUAGUCCAUCAAUCUCAUACUGCAUGGUGGUAUUGUCACUUGUAUUUUUUGAUGUUCUGGUCAGUAUCUUUGGAUAAUGUCAUCAGAUAUUAAAAAGCAUAACCACUUAUAUGUAAGGCCUAACAAUGAAGUUUAUUUUAGUUUUAUUAUUUUUGUUUUUACCAAACUACUCUUUCCUUUACAUAUAAUAAAUAUGUUGUUUUAUAAAGUCCCUGGAUGACGUUAAUUUAACCUUUUUUUUUUUCAAUCCGAGCGCUACAUUCUGUAAUUAAGGAGCUGACUUAUAAUGCACUAGCUGUUAUCAGGUGGAGGGACAGCAGUGGCCAAGUUAUUUACUCCCAGACGCCAGAAAGCUUCAUUCACCGUUAAAAGUUGACAACAGUAAAGACGUGAAAUUAGAAGUUUUUCGGUCUCUCUACCGGGUAAAUAUUUUUAAGUAGUUUCAGUAAGAAAAGUUUAAGAAGUUUAAAUAAAGUAUUCCAAAGUAGUUUUUAUUGUAAUUAUGACUUUUAAUGGUGUUGGAGCUUGGGUUUAUGGGAGUACAAUGUUAUACAUAAUGUUGAGUGUGACUGUGUCUUUGUUUUAUCUUAUAUGAUGACAGAUAGUUUAAUGUGUCUGUAUUUUGUUUUAGUGCUAAGAUGUUUGAACUUGAGGACUCAGUAUGCACUUCAUUCAUACACUGCAUUUGAAUUUUUUUUAUUAUUUUUAUUGUUUUUUGAAGGAGUCUGGAUGUCAUAGCUGCAAACCAGAAACCCGCAUUGGUUGGUUACAUUAACAUGUUGCCUGGAGACUAGCAGAGGGAAGGUUGAUCUUAGUGAGCCAUGGGACCAUUGAUCUUUGUGGACCAUCACUGGCAAAAACAAGAUUUGAAGUGACAGUGAAUAGGAUGUGGCCAGAACGAUUUGUGGGACUGGUUGGCCUAACAAGCUAUGAAACUUGAUUUUUUUUAUGUGACCAAUGAUUGGCAUACAAAAGCUUUGCAUGAAUAGUAGAGGAUCAUAAUUCAUAACUUAAAUAUGGAGAAUUACAUACUGCAGUACAUAGACCAUUGAACAGCAAGAAUUUUAGUUAAUAUAAAUCCAUACAUGCCACGUCUAGUCACUAACCAUUGUGCCACAUUCAGAGAGAACAGAGACGAUUAACAUUGUAUGCAUUAAUAAUUCCCUUAUUGUUUAAUUAAAUCUGCAGGUUGUGGAUGAAGGGAUAAAUAGAAACUUAUUAAUAACAUGUUGGUUAAUCAAAAAAUAUUUUAAGCUGUAGGACACUAACUUCAAGAAAGUACUUUUUUGUGCUUGAUUGUCCUGUGCCUCAGUGCUUGGUAGCUCAGAACAUAUUGGAGUUGUCUGCUGAGAUCCAUUCUUACAGCACACACACUGCCUUAAAAUACAACAACUUGAUAUCUCCUGGGAGUCCAUACACGUGCAGAGAUAUGCCGCUGGUUAUACGUAAAUCUCCUCAAACUGCCACAUAUAUUGGAUUGAACGAUUUAGCCUUAACACUUUUAUACUGUAGUACUGUAAACUAUGAAAACAUUACUAAAGGUUUUUAAUUAGUUAUGAGAGUUUUCUAAUCUGUAAUGGGGAUAAACUCGUCGAUAAAAACAUUUCCUUGUCGAUGAAAUAAAGACAAAAUGUCGUGUAAGACAUUCUUCAGUUUUUAAGAUGGCAUUUCCUUGGGAAUAAGAGGCAUAACUAAUACAGUGACUCGGGUUGACGGGAAUGACUUACUCUGAACGUGUGAAUAGCAACAUUCUGUCCAGUUCUCAGGAUUUAAUGUCUACAAGUUGAAACUUUCACUUAAGCGGUGCAAUAUGGGGGGCGGGGAUGUCAUUGUUAGCUUAGUCAUAUCAGAAUUAUUUUAUCAGGUGGCAAAAUGAGAGAUAUAAUAUGAAGUCAUGUGGUUAUGGGAGUUAAGUUACAAGAAUGGUAAUAAAUGAAGAUGUUGAUUACACCUUCAGACGAGCAAAAAACUGACGACAGACUAUGCAACAGUGUCUGGAAAAGGGGAAAUGACUACUUAUGGUUUUUUACUAAAUUACUGAAAACCUGAACAAAGUGAGGUCAUUUGAAUAAAAAAAUACGGUAUAUUAUAAAAUUCUUGAGGGAAAUUUGAGUUGGUUGUAGAUACAGAAAGUUGUUUAUAGUAAGAGAAUACAGUAGUUAAAACUUCAUUUACCUUUAUGACGAUGGUAUAACUCGUCUUCAUUAUGGUUUUGAGUGUAACUGCAUCAUUAGUCAAUUUAGGAGAUUCUUAGUUCAUCUGUAAUGUGAUUUAAGUGAAACUUGACAUUUGUGUAUGAAAUAAAUUACAAAUAUUAGAUUGAUUAGGAUGAGUGGAGACAAAAGUUUUAAACUGAUUUAAACUUUUAAUUUGCUCAUUGUAUGAAAAAAGAAUGUUUGUUAUAUACUGUAGUUAUUUAUCUGUGUGAACCCUUUGCAGAUUUUGAGAAAGAUAAAUCUGACAUUUUUGGGCUUUUGUAAAAAUUAGGCAUAUGUAGGUGGUGGUAAGAUGUGGGGUCUACGUAGGCAACUCGUGAGUGUCAGCCGAGGCUAGUGUUGGACCCGAGCUGCUCCGCCCACCAUGUACGGUAGUGUCAACUUGAGUAAAGCGCUGUAGAGAGAUAUGUAAGCUUCCCCGCUAUGUUGCCUUGUUUUACCUUUGAGUGUAAUGGACUAAGCUUACUUGGAAAAAUGUUUCUAGUUAUGUAGACGUUUUAUUCUUGUUAAAUUGGUAUAUAUUUAAUGUCUUCUCAUCGAAAAUAUAUUCAAGUGGCAUAAGAUUUUAUUUAAGAGUUAUAGAGUAUGCUUACAGACAUGUUACUAUGGGUUAAGAAGUGUUUGGCAUAGCUAGAAAAAGAGAAAAAUUAUCUAUAUUGAAAUUUAGUCUAGUGCUCCCUAAUAGUAUGUCACUUAAGGUAUGAGCAACUCUUCAAAAAGUAUUUAACAUGUAGAGUAAGUGAGCAGAUUUGUCACACUAACAGUUUAUUGUAUAUUAAUGAGGUUCUUUAACAAUAUAGUCAAUAAAUAUGUUCCUGGACGUAAAGCCCGAAGCAUGUACGCUACUUCGUCUGUUUCGGUUACGCUGAAUUAACUUGUUAAAAUUGUUGUCUAAUUUAAACCAGUCACAAUGUGGAAAUUUAGUAAACAUAUUUGCAUAGAUGAUGAUAAACUAAUUGAUUGUUAGAACAAUGUAGUUUUUAAAGUUAAUAUUGUGAUAAUAUUAAGUUCAUCAAAUGAACUAAACAGCAAAUAUGUAUCAUUCAUGUACUAUAUCCACAACAAUAUUGUGUGUGGUGCUCUUUGGAUUAAUAAUAGUGUGCUGGUUUUGUUCAGGAAUGCAUUUUUCCUUCACUCUUCUCGACACAUCCUAACGGUAUUUAAAGGUUAUACGGCCUGUGUAUUGUGAUCGUGGUUACGAGAGCAGACGUUACGGUAAAUACUUUUAAGUCCGUUAUGUCUUUAUUUUUUACCCACCACUGUUUAGUUACGUUUUAUAACGAGAGUUGCAUGGUGUAUCUGUAAAGACUUAUGUUAGUAGUGUUACAGUGUGGUUUGCCUCGGCAUGAGGAGCGGAGCUAUGUUGCUGCUGUGUGUAGAGUUUUAACGGUAGGGUCAUCCAAGCACUGGUCUCCGUGUUCGUUGUUCUCAAGAUACCACCUUCUUGACACAUUUUGAAGUCGUUCGCUUCCAGGCACGCGCUACCUCUUAUAGAACGUUGACGUACUCUUGUGCAUCGUCGAAAAGUUGAUUCGGGUAGUAGUAAGUUUGAAAUUGUAAGUUAACUACUGUAGUUAUGUCUCUAAUAUGAAAAGACUUGAUGCUUUAAUUUCAGUAUUUAUGGUAACAUCAAUCUAAGGAUUUCAAAAUAAACAGAAGUGGUACCAUUUGAGGGUAAUGCUCUCCAGACUUUGUGGUGGUGUGACCAUUAGCACAUAAGGACUAUUAUUGCUUGCCAGCCCCCCAAAGCUUUAAGGGCAAGUGCUCAGGAGUGUGUUAACAUAAACACUACUAAAAGAGGUUUAUCUGCUGGGCAGCAUCAAAUAUGGAUCUAACAUCAUCCAUCAUGGGCGACUGAUGUGGCUGAUGGUGUGAAAACCAUUCCCUGUUGUAGUUGGCCAUUUGUUACUUUGAAAUUCUUGACAAUAACAAAAAUACUGUAGUAGAAACCAGGGCAGUUUUUUAAUGAAGUCAUUAUGUUCAUUCAUUAUUGUGGAGCAUGGAAUGUAAAGUCAAUAAUUAACAUGGAUUAUUUUCUUCAGUGUUUAAUCAUAAUUAAUUUGUAAUGGUUACAAUAUUGAAGAUUCCCAUUAAUUCUGUAGUGAAAGUUUGUAACCUUGUAAUGUAACUAGAACCAAAGUUUUAAUAUAAGACCAUGCAUAUUAGAUUGACAGUGUGUGUUCCACUCUUGUUUCACAGUCUUUGAGCAGGUAGUAUUGUGAAAAUCAUUUUUAUUUUGUGAAAUUUUAUGUUUAUAUACUUGAAGUGUACCUACUGUAAAUAUUUUAAGUUUUAUCAUGACUUAACAAAUAAUGUAAAGUAAAAAAAAAUCUUUUCAUGGCAUAGAUUAGGAUGUUUUUAAAAAGUUAAUUAAAUUAUACAUAGAGCCUAUCACAGCAUUAACACAAUAAGUCAACUUUUGCAAUGAUCUGAAACCUGGAAAGUACUGUACAGAGCUGUGUAGCCAAGUUUAGUCAUAUUUUACACAGCAAUCAUACAGUAAAUUUUAAAACUAGAACAACUAACUGUUUCAUGAAUACUGUAGUGCUGUACCAGGCAUUUGAAUUUAUUUAUUUUUAAUCAUCACUUUUGUAUUUUAGUUAGUUUUCAGUAUUUAAUUUUAUUUUCAUAAUUUUAUGUAUUGACUGAUCUUCAGUACUGAGAAGGAAAGCUGUCAAUACAAGUGCCUGCUCAGUUGAUAAGGGACAAGAGCGAGGACUGCUGUACUGUUUCUAACAUUAUCACAUUCAGUGAUUGUAUAAAAAAUGAAUGUCUUACUUACUUCUAAACUAAUGGAAAUGCCAAAUUUAAGUACCGUAUAUAUAAAUGUGUGUAUUUAUUAUGAUGAGCACAAAAUGUCUAUGCAUGUACAGUAAUUAUAAACUUGGGAGUGACAUGCAGGCCUUACUGCUGUAUUGUUCAGUGGUGCGCUAAACCAGGAGGAUCUCAUGAGCCAAAGGUGUCUAGUGCAAUUUUUUUUACCUGGAUGGGCGCAGAGAGCACUUUGUCUUUCAUAACCUCACUGUCUUUCAUGGGGGGUUUGGCUGGCAUGUUAACACAAGCGACAGGAGCUGUAUAAACACCAAAUUCGCUGCUAUGUGUCCAUUGACCAGUUGGUGUAUUGUAAUUUGGAAUAAAGUUAAAAGUAACACAAUUAAAAUUUGGAAAGUUGCUACUAUCUCCAAAUAUAUAGAUUUUCCGUUGAGGAAAUGUUUUCCAAAUCCUUAUGAGGCUCUCUUCAUUAUCAUGUAAAACUUGUGAGUGUAGAUGAGAUGCAAUAACAUGUUGGUGUUUAUUUAGCUCCAUCAUUGCAACACAGUCCAGGAUAAUGUUCAUAAUGUCCCCUUCAAUUGAUCCACGUCUGCCGACAUGCCAUAAGUGUUUCUUCGAGUGUACCGAGAAUGGCAACCCUUCAUCUCUGCUCAUGUGAUACCCGCAAGUGUAAUAACCAACUUGCCGGAACUCUUUGUGGUGAUAAAUGAAUGAUGUCGGCCAUUAUGCAGCUUGGUCCUUCUGUGGCUUCCUUGAGUGGUCAGAGUGGUAGUGUUAUGCAAGUAAUUAAUGGUUUGCUAUCUUUUGUAUAGCAUGCUAUAUGGAGUAGAUAUAUGUUGUCAUACGAAUUUUGACCUGUAAUGUUGAUUAUUAUAAUCAAAUGAGAUAUGCAUUACACGACUGGCAGGAAUGCCUUGUGUCAUUGCUCUUAGCACCACCGUGAGGCAACUUGUUCAACACCUCAAACAUUGUGCAAAUGCGGGAUAUCAUGACUUUGUAUAUUCUUAACUAAGCUAAAUAAAUGCCUCUGUGUUAUUUGUAA